GAACGCUGGCGGCGUGCUUAACACAUGCAAGUCGAACGGACAGGCCCUGCUUUUGUGGGGUGCUCGAGUGGCGAACGGGUGAGUAACACGUGAGUAACCUGCCCUUGACUUUGGGAUAACUUCAGGAAACUGGGGCUAAUACCGGAUAGGAGCUCCUGCUGCAUGGUGGGGGUUGGAAAGUUUCGGCGGUUGGGGAUGGACUCGCGGCUUAUCAGCUUGUUGGUGGGGUAGUGGCUUACCAAGGCUUUGACGGGUAGCCGGCCCGAGAGGGUGACCGGCCACAUUGGGACUGAGAUACGGCCCAGACUCCUACGGGAGGCAGCAGUGGGGAAUAUUGCACAAUGGGCGGAAGCCUGAUGCAGCAACGCCGCGUGCGGGAUGACGGCCUUCGGGUUGUAAACCGCUUUCGCCUGUGACGAAGCGUGAGUGACGGUAAUGGGUAAAGAAGCACCGGCUAACUACGUG
rnacentral:rRNA from 1 species